CUCAGCCUCAGUUUUUGUAGCUAUAAAACUGUUAUAUAACAUUGUUAUAUACUAUUACUCAACUUGAGGGGGGUAUCGAAAGGGUUAAAUAAGGUCAUGUCCAUCAUUCUAUGUCAUUACUUUGUUUUAAUUUCUUCCUAGCAUUGAAUAUUACUUAUGAUUAUUUUAUUUGUUCAUGAGUUUAUUGACUUUCUUCCUUUGUCUUUCCAUAGCUGUUCUCCAAGUGUCUAGAAUUGCACUGAUUAGCACAGUGGCCACUAGCCAAUGUGGCUAUUAAGCAUUUGAGAUGUUCCUAGCAGGAACUGAGAUGAGCUGGAAGUGUAACAUACACACAACAUUUCAAAGACACAGCAUAAAAAAAAGUAAAUGUAAAAUAUUUUAUCGAUAAUUUUUAUAUUGAUCACAUAUCGAAAUAAUAUUUAGGGCAUAUUGGGUUAAAUUAUUAAAAUUACUUUUACUUAUGUCUUUUUACUUUCUUUAAUGUGGCUGUUAGAAAAUUUAAAAUGUCGUAUGUAGUUAAUACUAUUUCUAUGGAGCAGUGCUCGUCAAGAAUAAUGCUGGCACAUACUAGGUGCUCAAUAAAUAGUUGAAUGACUGAAUAUUUUUCCUUGAAUGAGUGAGUGGCACAAAAGUGAAAGUAUAUAAAUAAUAGUUUCUCUCAAGUAGGUGACCUCCAUAGGAUAAAGCUGUCUGCUUUAGAUUAAUAAACUCAUUCUGGUCGAGGUGUUAAUAGCUGAUAACAGCUUAAAUUGUUGGCAUGAGUCAAGGUAAGAUGUACAUUUUAAUUGCAACUUUCUAGAAGUCAGAUAAAAGUAGGCUUCUUAAUUUUACUGUGAGGUCUUCCAGAAGAAAGGUUCCUUUAGAUCAAAUUUAAAAAAAAAAAAAAAAAAAAAAAAAAAAAAAGAAGAAGAAGAAGAAGAGGAGGGAGGGGACAAAUGCUGGGAGUGGGGAUGGAGCGGAGGAUCGAGGGAGAUGCGGAGAAACUUCAGCGCGGCAGAUGCUUUUGUUUCCCGUUACCUGCUGCGUCUAGUCCCGUCCAGGGCACACAGUGGGCGCUUAGUAACUGUAGAAAGAAAUCGAACGAAAUCGGAAGUGGGAGAGGCAGAGGCCACAAUCAAGACACGGAAUAGACAGUCAGUCGAGGCAGCAGAGAGGGUGCCACGCGGCCAGCGGAGGCGCAGGGCAGCUGCGGAGGGAUCUUGCCACGGGGCGGAGGGACCGCGCUCCCCACCAGCGCGGCUCAUUCAGGCCACCCUGGGUUCUACCCCCCUGGGAAGACUUCCUUUGGCCAGUGUCAAUCAGUGCCAAAACCAAGAGGAAAACUGAGGAGGGUUUCAUUAUAGAAGACUAUACCACCUGGACACAAGGAUACAAGAGCAGAGUUGCUGAAGCCAUCUUGGAGUAUCAGGUCUCCCUGAUUCUUCUGAAUCCUCCCAG
rnacentral:lncRNA from 1 species